UAGCCCACUGGGUGUCUGCCUCAUUUUACUCAGCCCCUAUUCAAGAUGGAGUUACUCUGGUUCACACACCUCUGACAUGACCUCCAACAAGUUGUGAACAUUGAGAGAAAACCCAAACUGCCCAAGAUGAGGAAGUUAGUGAGAAAGUGGUACCUAAAGCCAUGAUACCAACGAGCUCUAUGCUUCUUGAAAGGGUCCUCACAACAUCCCUGUAAGAUGUACAGGACAGAUAUGCAUAUCUUCCCAAGACUGCUGAAGAAACCCAAACCCCAGAUGGUAACUUUGUGAGACAAGCCUCAAAUUUUACCACUGUACCAAGAAAUGAAAGCCAGAAUGUGGAAUUGGAGCUGGUAAUGACGACGUCAGGACAGGUUCAAAGGAAGCCCAUCACUUGAGUAAAAAUUUAUAGCCCUGCUUGUGCUGUGCUGUGCUGUGCUGUGAGUUUCAGUUCCGGGCCAGCAAAAGAUUUAUCAAAGGAAAGCAACAAGGUGUGUGGAAAUAGAAGGUAAGAAAAAUUAAUUUCAGAGAGGAAAAUAAAGUUGCUUGAGGGGCUCUUCAAUGACCAAAGGCCAUAAGAGACUGGAAGGCAAAAGGACCCAUUAAUGUAAUCCAAACAUCAGUCUCCUGCAGCAAAGAGGUGAAUGGAGAAGGGUGGAGAGUAGCUGUGGACGAGUGAAAAAGACAUCGCACCAUGUCUUCAAAUUACAUCCAGCAACUUCAUAUGAACUAUGAAACCCUUGUUGCCACAAUAGUCCCUCUUUGUUUGAACUACUACAAGAAUAAAGAAAUUUCUUUCUAAUCUUUUGCAGAAGAAUUACAUAGACUCUCACUUACUGCUCUUGUUUCAUAGGUGGCUGAUUUUCCAAUUAUAUUAAAUACUUUUGGAAGGGCUGGGACUACAUCUAAUUUCUUGAAAAGUCUGGUGCUGUGGAAGACCAAGACCCAGACUGUUGAGGUCAGCCUAAUGUAAUGUGAAAUAUCUAAACUCUGCGUACUUCUUUACCAUGAGUGUAUAGAUAAAAUAUCAUUGCAUUUAAGGAAAUUGCUUAAAGCCUCACAGUGAAUAAA
rnacentral:lncRNA from 1 species